UACGGAGGGGGCUAGCGUUGUUCGGAAUUACUGGGCGUAAAGCGCACGUAGGCGGCUUUGUUAAGAUUAGAGGUGAAAGCCCAGGGCUUAACCCUGGAAUUGCCUUUAAGACUGCAUCGCUAGAAUUGUGGAGAGGUAAGUGGAAUUCCGAGUGUAGAGGUGAAAUUCGUAGAUAUUCGGAGGAACACCAGUGGCGAAGGCGGCUCACUGGUCCAUUACUGACGCUGAGGUGCGAAAGCGUGGGGAGCAAACAGG
rnacentral:rRNA from 1 species